GUGCCUUCUUUGUACCUUCCUGGUUUGGGAAGGAAUGUGCAGAAUGUGCAGGAAAGGAGACUGGUUCUGGUGUGGCCUGGUUAUCACAAAUGUCCUAGAAGACCCAUUGGGCACCUGGUGUGGCUGAUGGCAAGUUCUAGAAAGGAAAAGGGUCUGGCUUGGAGGUACAGUGUGGAGGAUGGUUCAUGGGGACAGGAUGCAUGAGGCAAUGUGCAUUGGGGCUGGAGGAGGGCAGUAUUCCAGGAAAGGAGUGGGCAGGAAGAAGGGGCAGGAGGCAGUGCUGGAAGGGAGAAACCUAAGAUCCGCAGUGAGGAGGAGAAUUAAGAAGAUGGAGUUCACAUUCAGAGCUCAGGCUGGAGGCGAGUGGCAGACGAUGAAAAGGAGAAGAAAAGUCCUAGGAGCAAAGUUGCCCAUUGCAUGCCUGAAGGAAUGAAUGAGCCAGGGCUGUGUGGUCUGCACAGAUGGUUGCAACGUUGGCAAAGCAUUCUCAGUUGUUACAAAAGCUCCAGGAGCCCACAUUUCACAGCUGAGGAAACAGGCUCAAAGUCACACAUCAAAUAAUGCAGCCAGGACUUCACCUCUUAGGACAUCAGAUGUGCACCCUUGGGGUUUUCCUCCCACUUCAGCGUGGGCUGCCAGGCCUCUCCUGAGCAAUCACUGGGGAAAGGGGCAAGUGCUUGCCUGGCAGGGAGAGAGGGAGCGAGAGAGGACUCUGCCAAGGAUCAACUCCAGACUCAUUUCUCUAGCAACCCUUGUCAUAAAAUAUCUUGCCUCAGUGAGCAUUGAGUAUGAAUCCAGGCUGUUUGAGAUUGUGCCAUCCUUACUUGACAGUUUAAUUGUGAUCCUAUAGAUGAUCAGUUUAGUCUGUGACUGGGGCUACAAGGACCUAGGGCAUGGGAGUUGUGAUCUAGAUGCAGACAGACAGCCUUUGACCUGGGACUUGGAGGGCAGGUAGGCAACUCCACUUUACCUCCCACUAGCUCUCUGCCUCAUUUUCUUUUGCACCUUUGAGCUAACUCCUGGCGCUUUCCCCACAGGACCCUGGUCAGCUGCUACGCUGAGUUCCUAUGAGCAAGACUGGAUCUGUUUGCCUUUCCUUUCCAGAACCUGAGGUCUAUGGAGAUGAUUUGCAAAGAUGGCUUCAGCACUUCCACUCGUUAGGUGCAGGCCCCUUUGGAAGUGUGGAGUCUCUGGAAUCUGAGCUUGCCUUGACUUGCACAAACCAUAAAAAUACAGCAGUGCGGUCAUCAGCGGGCAUGGCAGCUUUUGCUUUGAUCCUCUUUCAAGCUGCCUCUUUCAAGCUGCAUGUGCACAGACCUCGUCUGAUCUAUCACGUGAACCCGAGAGGCUGUGAAGCGCAGGCGCCAUGACAGGCAAAGCUCACAUGACUGACUACAGCCAGUGCCAAAAGUUACAUGUAAGAAUGAGGCCAUCUUGGGCCUUUUAGACUCAGGAUAGCCACCAAAAAGCACAGUGGUACUAAUGACCCCAGGAGAAAUCAGCAGAACCUUCCAGCUGAGCCCAACCCUAAAGGUGGGGUCAUGGAAUUGGGAGUAAAUACAAUGUUACUUUAAUCAGCCCCGCCCCCCAUUACUUUAGAAUGUCAUGCCAGGCAGCAACAGAAAAUGGGCACAGGGCAGUUCCUACUGGUAGUAGACUGGAUUACUUCUAAAAACAGAUAUUUAAGACCUAAACCCUUUUACCUGUGAAUGUUAACUUAUUUGGAAAUAAACUUUGAAGAUAUCGAAUUCA